rnacentral:rRNA from 1 species
AACGCUAGCUACAGGCUUAACACAUGCAAGUCGAGGGGCAGCACAAGGCAGCAAUGCUGAGGUGGCGACCGGCGCACGGGUGCGUAACGCGUAUCCAACCUUCCCGUUACUCUUGGAUAGCCUUCCGAAAGGGAGAUUAAUACAGGAUGGUGUUGAAAUUCCGCAUGUUAUUUCAACUAAAGAUUUAUCGGUAACGGAUGGGGAUGCGUGACAUUAGAUAGAUGGCGGGGUAACGGCCCACCAUGUCCACGAUGUCUAGGGGUUCUGAGAGGAAGGUCCCCCACACUGGAACUGAGACACGGUCCAGACUCCUACGGGAGGCAGCAGUGAGGAAUACUGGUCAAUGGCCGGAAGGCUGAACCAGCCAAGUAGCGUGAAGGAUGAAGGUUCUAUGGAUUGUAAACUUCUUUUAUACGGGAAUAAAACCUCCCACGUGUGGGAGCUUGUAUGUACCGUAUGAAUAAGCAUCGGCUAACUCCGUGCCAGCAGCCGCGGUAAUACGGAGGAUGCGAGCGUUAUCCGGAUUUAUUGGGUUUAAAGGGAGCGUAGACGGGAGAUUAAGUCAGCUGUGAAAGUUUGAGGCCCAACCUUAAAAUUGCAGUUGAUACUGGUUUCCUUGAGUGCGGUUGAGGUGUAUGGAAUUCGUGGUGUAGCGGUGAAAUGCUUAGAUAUCACGAAGAACUACGAUUG